CCUACGGGAGGCAGCAGUGAGGAAUAUUGGUCAAUGGCCGAGAGGCUGAACCAGCCAAGUCGCGUGAGGGAAGACGGCCCUACGGGUUGUAAACCUCUUUUGUCGGGGAGCAAAGCGAACCACGUGUGGUCCAUUGAGAGUACCCGAAGAAAAAGCAUCGGCUAACUCCGUGCCAGCAGCCGCGGUAAUACGGAGGAUGCGAGCGUUAUCCGGAUUUAUUGGGUUUAAAGGGUGCGCAGGCGGAGGUGCAAGUCAGCGGUCAAAUCGCGGGGCUCAACCCCGGACUGCCGUUGAAACUGCAUCCCUUGAGUGCGAGAGAAGUAUGCGGAAUGCGUGGUGUAGCGGUGAAAUGCAUAGAUAUCACGCAGAACUCCGAUUGCGAAGGCAGCAUACCGGCGCGCAACUGACGCUCAGGCACGAAAGCGUGGGUAUCGAACAGGAUUAGAUACCCGGGUAGUC
rnacentral:rRNA from 1 species